rnacentral:rRNA from 1 species
AUUGAACGCUGGCGGCAUGCUUUACACAUGCAAGUCGAACGGUAACAGGCCGCAAGGUGCUGACGAGUGGCGAACGGGUGAGUAAUGCAUCGGAACGUGCCCAGUCGUGGGGGAUAACGCAGCGAAAGCUGCGCUAAUACCGCAUACGAUCUAUGGAUGAAAGCGGGGGACCGUAAGGCCUCGCGCGAUUGGAGCGGCCGAUGUCAGAUUAGGUAGUUGGUGGGGUAAAGGCUCACCAAGCCAACGAUCUGUAGCUGGUCUGAGAGGACGACCAGCCACACUGGGACUGAGACACGGCCCAGACUCCUACGGGAGGCAGCAGUGGGGAAUUUUGGACAAUGGGCGCAAGCCUGAUCCAGCAAUGCCGCGUGCAGGAAGAAGGCCUUCGGGUUGUAAACUGCUUUUGUACGGAACGAAAAGGCUCUGGAUAAUACCUGGGGCUCAUGACGGUACCGUAAGAAUAAGCACCGGCUAACUACGUGCCAGCCGCCGCGGUAACAC